rnacentral:rRNA from 1 species
GGUUUGACUGGAUGGUCUUCCUUACGGUUGUACUUGAAGGUCGAAUCUUUCCUUCUAGAGAACUACCGUGCCAUUAAUUUGGUGUUGCGGGGAAUUUGGACUGUUACUUUGAAAAAAUUAGAGUGUUUAAAGCAAGCUAACGCUUGAAUACAUUAGCAUGGAAUAAUGAAAUAGGACGUUCGAUCCUAUUUUGUUGGUUUCUAGGAUUGACGUA